GGGUUGUGAGGUUAAGCGACUAAGCGUACACGGUGGAUGCCCUGGCAGUCAGAGGCGAUGAAGGACGUGCUAAUCUGCGAUAAGCGUCGGUAAGGUGAUAUGAACCGUUAUAACCGGCGAUUUCCGAAUGGGGAAACCCAGUGUGUUUCGACACACUAUCAUUAACUGAAUCCAUAGGUUAAUGAGGCGAACCGGGGGAACUGAAACAUCUAAGUACCCCGAGGAAAAGAAAUCAACCGAGAUUCCCCCAGUAGCGGCGAGCGAACGGGGAGCAGCCCAGAGCCUGAAUCAGUGUGUGUGUUAGUGGAAGCGUCUGGAAAGGCGCGCGAUACAGGGUGACAGCCCCGUACACAAAAAUGCACAUACUGUGAGCUCGAUGAGUAGGGCGGGACACGUGGUAUCCUGUCUGAAUAUGGGGGGACCAUCCUCCAAGGCUAAAUACUCCUGACUGACCGAUAGUGAACCAGUACCGUGAGGGAAAGGCGAAAAGAACCCCGGCGAGGGGAGUGAAAAAGAACCUGAAACCGUGUACGUACAAGCAGUGGGAGCCUCUUUAUGGGGUGACUGCGUACCUUUUGUAUAAUGGGUCAGCGACUUAUAUUCUGUAGCAAGGUUAACCGAAUAGGGGAGCCGAAGGGAAACCGAGUCUUAACUGGGCGUUAAGUUGCAGGGUAUAGACCCGAAACCCGGUGAUCUAGCCAUGGGCAGGUUGAAGGUUGGGUAACACUAACUGGAGGACCGAACCGACUAAUGUUGAAAAAUUAGCGGAUGACUUGUGGCUGGGGGUGAAAGGCCAAUCAAACCGGGAGAUAGCUGGUUCUCCCCGAAAGCUAUUUAGGUAGCGCCUCGUGAAUUCAUCUCCGGGGGUAGAGCACUGUUUCGGCAAGGGGGUCAUCCCGACUUACCAACCCGAUGCAAACUGCGAAUACCGGAGAAUGUUAUCACGGGAGACACACGGCGGGUGCUAACGUCCGUCGUGAAGAGGGAAACAACCCAGACCGCCAGCUAAGGUCCCAAAGUCAUGGUUAAGUGGGAAACGAUGUGGGAAGGCCCAGACAGCCAGGAUGUUGGCUUAGAAGCAGCCAUCAUUUAAAGAAAGCGUAAUAGCUCACUGGUCGAGUCGGCCUGCGCGGAAGAUGUAACGGGGCUAAACCAUGCACCGAAGCUGCGGCAGCGACACU
rnacentral:rRNA from 1 species